rnacentral:tRNA from 1 species
UUCUAACGUGGCAGAGCUAUGCAUAGGAUUUAGGAUCCUAACACGAAAUCAAUAUUUCCGUAGAAA